rnacentral:misc_RNA from 1 species
UAUAGACCAAUUCUAACCAGUGUUAUUCUAUGCUUAAUCCAUUAACUAGCUUAGUUUUUGCUGUGAAUGGAUAUGUGUAUUGUCAAUGACUCAUCAGGGAAUAGGUUUUAAACCUUUGGCCUCACAUCAUGUUUUACAUAAUAAGAUGGAGUAGAGGGAACAGGUAAAUGUUGAACCAUCAUAUCUGUUUGUGAUAUAAUUUCUACAAAUUAGCAAUGUAGCCCAUACCCCCUGGCAACUGAAAAUACCAUUAGAAGUAGAACAUCUUGGAUUUUAUAGUAAGUCCACAUAAAAUAAAGACAAGAAGGAAUUGAAAAAAAAAAUAGUAUGCAAUAGAAGCAGAUUGGGCGGGAAACUGGCAAUGGAAUCAAAUAA